UCUACGGGGGGCAGCAGUGAGGAAUAUUGGUCAAUGGGCGCGAGCCUGAACCAGCCAAGUCGCGUGAGGGAAGACGGCCCUACGGGUUGUAAACCUCUUUUGCCGGGGAGCAACGUGCGCCACGUGUGGCGCCACUGAGAGUCCCCGGGGAAAAAGCAUCGGCUAACUCCGUGCCAGCAGCCGCGGUAAUACGGAGGAUGCGAGCGUUAUCCGGAUUUAUUGGGUUUAAGGGGUGCGUAGGCGGCGCGUUAAGUCAGGGGUAAAAUUGAGGGGCUCAACCCCUUCCCGCCAUUGAAACUGGCGCUCUUGAGUGGAAGAGAAGUAUGCGGAAUGCGUGGUGUAGCGGUGAAAUGCAUAGAUAUCACGCAGAACCCCGAUUGCGAAGGCAGCAUGCCGGCUUCCUACUGACGCUGAAGCACGAAAGCGUGGGGAUCGAACAGGAUUAGAUACCCGAGUAGUC
rnacentral:rRNA from 1 species